UCAGUAACUGGAGUGAAGUCGUAACAAGGUAGCAGUACUGGAAGGUGCGGCUGGAUUACCUCCUU
rnacentral:rRNA from 16 species